rnacentral:lncRNA from 1 species
UAUUUAACGUUGUCUGUAUGAACCCUCUCCUCCAGUCAUCACCUGUCAAGCACAGCAGCACAACACGAGUCUCGCCCCAUCAUAGGAAACAUGAAAAGGUUGUGCACCCUGGUGCUGGUGGUGAGUCUGGUGGUCGGGGCAGUUGUCUGCGCUCCCCAAAUUCCAAGAUACAAGGUUCCUAACCUGUGCCCGCUGCUGAGGAUUGACUGUUCUCCCCAAAACGGGCGGCCGCCUGUCCACGGGUGUUGCUACAUGCCCAGGGAUACCCUGAUCCCGCGCCCUGGUUAUCUGGGAUAGCCAGCCUGUGUGUUCUGGGACUGUACACACACGACACACACCACCUGAGAAUUAUUGCUUCCCGUCAUGCUGCAUGAGAUGCUGAAUUGUUUUCUAUAUAUUUGUUUUUUCAGGCAUUUUUUCCUCUGCUUCACUUCCCUUAAAAAUUUAGAUUGAAUAGCCGGUUCAAUCGCAUCUCUACGCAAAAGCUUUUGUAUUGAGUUCUAUGGCCAGGUGGUACAAAUCUCACCCAACCUCAUAAAAUAUUUUGCUGUAGUUUAUUUUGCUGUUUUUACCUCGGACGGUUUGCUGAAGGGUGUAAAUGAAAUUAGAGAAAUACACUUUCCAUUAGUGUUAAUUCCUGAAUUUGUAAUGAUUUAUAGUUAAAUAUAUAAAUACGAUAAAUUCAUCAGGCAUUCAUUUGUAUUUAUAAUCCUAAAGCAUCCUAAAAAUCAUCAGCAUCCUAAAAAAUCAUUCAUCAGGCAUUCAUUUGUAUUUAUAAUCCAAAGCAUCCUAAAACCUUCCCCUAUACUAGUGAGGAGAAAUCGGGUUUCCUGAAAACAAUAUAAUAUUAAUGAGUGCCCUCCAAACCUUUUUCAUAGAAUUUUGUAAAGUGAAAAUAAUAUUUUUCAUACAUGAACACGAUGAAGGCAAAAUUAUUUUGAAUAUAUCGCUCGGGGCUGGAAGUUCUCAGACGUCAAGGGCAUCAUAAACAACUUGUUCCGUGGCUCCUAUCUCUAGAAGUCUAGUAUCAGUCCAGCAAUAGACUAGAGAAAAUCAGCGACCGCAUUUCUUCAAAGUCUCAUUUAUAGAAAAUGCGUUGAUAUAUUGAAAUGCAAAAAUCUGCUUUAAAAUUUCCGUAUACCUCAGUGGCCUGUUGAUAGGGGUCCAGUGCCGACCCUAUUAAGAAAAAGGAAAGGAAACACCAUCCUUUCAUUUUUUCUGAUUAUGUGUAGAUUUGGGUUAUUAGAAUUUUUUGAAUGAGAAUGAGAAUUCUCAUUAUGAAUGAAAUUUGCUUACUUUUUUGAAGGGGCGAAAUGCAAAAGAAGCGAAUUUCCUGAUGAACUUCUUCAUAAUUUUUACUUCCAUGUGAAAAUUUAUUUUUCCAUUAAUAAAAACCAACUUAAUGUCAUUUUAAAUACACUAGUAAAUUUGAUGGAGGUGUUAACAGUUUAGCUGAAGGAAAAGUCCGAGGAAGUUAUAGUAUUUUAUCAUAUUUUUUUUUUUACUUGGCACAGGUUCUUGUGAUUUAAAAUUAGCUGAAUAUAUAGUUGUCAAGAGGACUGCUUAGUGGGCAGAAAACUGCCUUACCAUAAGGUCAUAAUGGAUGGAUUCUACAUGCUAAUAUAAUUUUAGCAGAGAUCAAGCUUAGUAAAUAUAAAAUGGUCAUUUUAAAUCACAUUUUCUAUAAUAUAAUACAAACUUUCUUAACAUCCUUUACCAAUUCUUACAUAGCCUGUUACACAGACAUGGUAGGACACUCUGGUUGGACAGAUCCUGACGACUUGUAUGACACAUGGUAAACAGGAUGCAGUGUCCUGUCAGGUGUUAUUCAUCUGAGACAAGUUAAUGUUACCUUUAGGGUUCUUAAGAGUGUAGCCCCAAGGUAUGUAGCGGUUAUCCCUACGUCAGUACGUGCAGAAUUUUCCUGAAAUCUCUCAACUAUAAUUCAUGGUGAACACUGGAGGCAUCUUUUACUAUAAUAAAAUUGCCUUUCACGACCUAAGUCCGGUCCAAAACAGAUUAUGUUGCUUCAGUUCCUCUCACAUUUUUCUGUAAUGAAAUCAAGAAGCUUGUAAGUAAUGAAAUGAAGCCAUUAAACGGAUUCAUUGAGUACUAAAAACCGACAAAAUAUCGAAAUUAUUAAAAGAACUUUGUCUUUUAUUCAUAUACCGUGUUCUUCUAAUUUAAUAAAAGCUAAGACUAUAUAAAUAAAAUGAGAUAAGAGCCUCCUUCUCCUCGACUACUCCAUCCACUACCACAAACACUGCUGACGUUUCAUCCUCAGCGAACCCCAAGACCCCUCCGGUCUUCCCUCACCCCUCCCAUGUUUCCUGAACCAGCAAGGCAACACCGGUAUUUAACCUUGGCGGUAUCCAGCUGGACGACUUCUACGACCCUGUGUUCCUCGCUCUGCCAGUCUCCACUCAGCCAGCGUUGCGUCAAGACACGAGUCUCACUCCACCAGCGGCAUCAUGAAAAAGUGUUCCGUCGUGAUGGUGUUGGUGUUGUGUCUCCUGGUCGCGGACGUCCUCUCUGAACCACAAGGUCCAAGGGAGAGCCUGAGGGAGCUGUGCAUGCGUGUGAGAGUAAACUGCAGGAUCAAACCUCCCCACCCAUGUUGUCACUUUCAUGGAUCCCCGGUUCGAGGCCCACCCAUCGGGUAGCAGCCCAGAGUACUCUUGCUAUCAUCAUUCGCGGGACUUGACCACCUCUUGAAUGCCUGGUUUCCCUCAAGCCACCUUUCCAUACUAACAUAAAGUUUACUGUAUAUGACUCUUCAAAUGAGAAGACGUGGAAACUUUGUACAAGUUGUUAUAUAUACCAAAGCAUUUACUCAGCUAAACUUCAAUGCACAAAUAUCAUAGGCAUGCUUGUUCAGUAGCAUCUCUGCAGGAACUCUUCGAUGUAAAACUUUCUGUCAGUUUGCAGAUGAAAUAUAUCAUCCGACCUCAUAAAUAACUUUCACAGCAA